UACGAAGGACCCGAGCGUUAUCCGGAUCCAUUGGGUUUAAAGGGUGCGUAGGCGGAAUGAUAAGUCAGUGGUGAAAUCCUGCAGCUUAACUGCAGAACUGCCAUUGAUACUGUUGUUCUUGAAUACAACUGAUGUGGGCGGAAUGUGCCAUGUAGUGGUGAAAUACUUAGAUAUGGCACAGAACACCGAUUGCGAAAGGCAGCUCACAAAAUUGUUAUUGACGCUGAUGCACGAAAGCGUGGGGAUAAACAGG
rnacentral:rRNA from 1 species